CGCGAAACUUUCCCGCUGCGGGGGUGGAGCUACUCCGAGACCAGACCGGAAGUGCGGAGCCCGGGGUCGGGUCCACGCUGCAGUAGGCCGGGCGGGGUCUUCUUUAGGGAGUGCUCGCUUUGUAACGUUCGUCUUCAGAGUGUAUCUUCUGUUGUUUUUUACCGAAACUAAUCGUGUCAUUUGUAGUGGAAUUGCGCUUGGUGGAUGGUUUUUGUUACCGGAAGUUGGUCUCCCACCUUUUUACGUGCGCCCGAUUGCUUCCGCUGUAGAUGAUGAUAGAUUAUAGUGCGGGAGACCCAACACGUGGCUGAAAUGCUGGCUUGGAGAGCGACACAUGCUUUUUGACCCUGAGUAUUAAUCAGCAUCCGUAAGGGUACAGGUCCAUCUGUUGCAGCUACCUGAACAGAUAAGCCAAGAGUUACAAAGUUAUUCUUCAAUCAGACUUCAUUCUGUGGAGCUACCUCAGGGGUCAGGACUGAGAUCUCCUCAACUAAUUCUCUGAAAUUCUUACCCAUCGUGGUGCUAAACACAAAAAGGGAGUUUGCCAUGGACUGAAUGUUUGUGUCCUCCUAAAAUUCCUAUGUUGAAACCCUAAACCCAAUGUGAUGGUAUUUGGAGGUGGGGCCUUGGGAGGUAAUUUGGUAAGAAAGUUUUCAUGAAUUGGAUUCUAUAAGAAGGGAUGAAAGAGAGAUGACUUCUUUUUGUCCCAUGUGAAGAAAUGGAAAGAAGCCGUCUGCAAACCAGAAAAAAGGCAAACCAGGAACUAAUAGGCCAGCACUUUGGUACUGGACAUUGUAGCUUUAAAUUCCUGUUGUUUAAGCCCCCUAGUCAGUAGUAUUUUUGUUAUAGCAGCCUGAAUUAAGACAGUGUUCAGAUUAUGAAUAUAAGCUAUCAUUAUCAUGUACAUUCACAUUUCUCAUUUCCCAAAUAU